UGCAGUCAAGUCAAAUUCAGUCCCUGUCCUGUCAUGGCAGGAACUGGCCCAGAUGGCUGCCACAAGUCCUGUUGCUCAUGGGCCCUGUGUCCCCUGCCCUGGGACCUGGGGAUAAGUUUAGCUGCAGACAUUG